GACGAACCGUGCGAACGUUGUUCGGAAUCACUGGGCUUAAAGGGCGCGUAGGCGGCUCGCAAGGUCGGGGGUGAAAUCCCGCAGCUCAACUGCGGAAGUGCCUUCGAUACCGGCGGGCUCGAGGAAGGUAGGGGUGCGCGGAACUUCUGGUGGAGCGGUGAAAUGCGUUGAUAUCAGAAGGAACGCCGGCGGCGAAAGCGGCGCACUGGACCUUUUCUGACGCUGAGGCGCGAAAGCCAGGGGAGCAAACGGG
rnacentral:rRNA from 1 species